GGCCAGUCACACGAUCAUCCUGCCCUCCUCCUCCCACUCCUGCACUGAGGGGCUGCUUGAAAAGGAACACAGAAGAAACUGUGGCAGAGAAAUUGCCUUUCUCCUAAGACAGACAGAGACCAACAAGAAGCCAAAAGCUCUGCAAAAAAAGGGACCCCUCAUCUUCAGCCUCUUGCCAUCCCCCUUGCAUGAAUGAAUCUUGUCCAAGAACUGGGAGAAACUUCAGAGGGGAAGCUCGCAUGUUGUUGGAGUUCAUCUAAAAACAACCAAACAAUCAAAAAUACUGCAAGCGGGGAUUCCCCAUCCAUGGGAAAAAGAAUAUUAAAGUUCACUUCAACUGUGGGCCAAAGACAGGAUUUAAGCACCUGGUUAUUCUUUUAUUCACUCCCUUAUGAAUCAUGAUGUGAUAGCCAACCUGUCUCCAUUUUGUGCCUCAUCACCAUUCCCCCUCCCCCCUUGGGAGUCCUCUCUGUUGAUGCUUGACAGACCACUGCACCCCAUUUGGUAGAGCAGUCUGCAGCUAUAUGUUAUCUUUAUGACCUUGUGAAGAGAAUACUCUGCACCUAUGUGAUAUUUUGUUUCAACUAAAUUCUGUGAAACUUCCCCUGACCCUCACUAAUUUAGCAAAGCUCUGCUUCUGUAAAAUUCUGCUUGUGUUCCCCCUCUCCCAGAGCCGUCCCCAACUAGAAGAGCCACUAAAAAAGAAACCUGCAAGCUGCUUUUCGGGGUCAAGAGAUUCUGAGUGCUAGCUCCUCUCAACCGCC
rnacentral:lncRNA from 1 species